AAUCAACGCUGGCGGCGUGCCUAACACAUGCAAGUCGAACGAGAAAGUCCCGCAAGGGAUGAGUACAGUGGCGUACGGGUGAGUAACACGUGGAUAACCUGCCUUCAAAUGGGGAAUAACCCUGGGAAACCGGGGCUAAGACCGCAUAACACUUGGGAGCUUCGGCUCCAGAGUUGAAAUCCGCAAGGAGGUUGAAGAGGGGUCCGCGGCUGAUUAGCUAGUUGGCGGGGUAAUGGCCCACCAAGGCUUUGAUCAGUAGCCGGCCUGAGAGGGCGGACGGCCACACUGGAACUGCAACACGGUCCAGACUCCUACGGGAGGCAGCAGUGGGGAAUUUUGCGCAAUGGGGGAAACCCUGACGCAGCAACGCCGCGUGGACGAUGAGGAUCUUCGGGUCGUAAACUCCUUUCGAUCGAGACGAAUUCCCCUGGGGUGAACAAUCCCGGGGGUUGACGGUACCGAGAGAAGAAGCCCCGGCUAACUCCGUGCCAGCAGCCGCCGUAAGAC
rnacentral:rRNA from 1 species